rnacentral:rRNA from 1 species
GACGAACGCUGGCGGCGUGCCUAAUACAUGCAAGUCGAACGCAGUGGGGCCUGGUGAGUAACACGUGGGUAACCUCCCAUCAGAGGGGAUAACACUUGGCCACAGGUGCUAAACUGAUACUGAUGGAUGAUACUGCGGUGCCUUAGCUAGUUGGUGAGGUAACGGCUCACCAAGGCCACGAUGCAUAGCCGACCUGAGAGGUGUAUCGGCCACACUAGGACUGAGACACGGCCCAGACUCCUACGGGAGGCAGCAGUGGGGAAUCUUCGGCAAUGGACGAAAGUCUGACCGAGCAACGCCGCGUGAGUGAAGAAGGUUUUCGGAUCGUAAAACUCUGUUGUUAGAGAAGCGGUAUCUAACCAGAAAGCAGCGGCGAACUACGUGCCAGCAGCCGCGGGAAUAC